rnacentral:rRNA from 1 species
CAAGAGCGUAUAUUAAAGUUGUUGCAGUUAAAAAGCUCGUAGUUGGAUUUCUGGUACAACGCGCCUGGCCCGCUUUUGUGAGUGCCGGUGCGCGUUUGCCAUCCUUCUAGAAAACGUUUCUACCCCGGGUAACUGGGCCGGACUCGCGAUCUAGAUCUUUUACUUUGAAAAAAUUUAGAAGUGUUUAAAAGCAGGACUUUUGCUGUGAAUACAUUAGCAUGGAAUAAUGAUCUAGGACUUCGGUUCUAUUUUUGUUGGUUUUCUAGUUACUGAAGUAAUGAAUUGAUAGGGAUAGUUGGGGGUGGCUAGUAUUGGCCGGCCAGAGGUGAAAAUUC